rfam:Diaporthe ampelina DA_912_scaffold_v01_103, whole genome shotgun sequence.
GGUCGGCUGGCGCAAUGGUAGCGUGUAUCACUCCUAUUAAAGAAGCGAUGAUGAGGUUUUGGGUUCGAGUCCCAAGUCGAUCG